rnacentral:rRNA from 1 species
AGUGAACGCUGGCGGUAGGCCUAACACAUGCAAGUCGAACGGCAGCACAGUAAGAGCUUGCUCUUACGGGUGGCGAGUGGCGGACGGUUGAGGAAUACAUCGGAAUCUACUUUUUCGUGGGGGAUAACGUAGGGAAACUUACGCUAAUACCGCAUACGACCUACGGGUGAAAGCAGGGGAUCUUCGGACCUUGCGCGAUUGAAUGAGCCGAUGUCGGAUUAGCUAGUUGGCGGGGUAAAGGCCCACCAAGGCGACGAUCCGUAGCUGGUCUGAGAGGAUGAUCAGCCACACUGGAACUGAGACACGGUCCAGACUCCUACGGGAGGCAGCAGCGGGGAAUAUUGGACAAUGGGCGCAAGCCUGAUCCAGCCAUACCGCGUGGGUGAAGAAGGCCUUCGGGUUGUAAAGCCCUUUUGUUGGGAAAGAAAAGCAGCAGGUUAAUACCCCGCUGUUCUGACGGUACCCAAAGAAUAAGCACCGGCUAACUUCGUG